rnacentral:rRNA from 1 species
CAGCAGCCACGGGAAUACGUAGGUGGCAAGCGUUGUCCGGAAUUAUUGGGCGUAAAGGGCUCGCAGGCGGUUUCUUAAGUCUGAUGUGAAAGCCCCCGGCUCAACCGGGGAGGGUCAUUGGAAACUGGGAAACUUGAGUGCAGAAGAGGAGAGUGGAAUACCACGUGUAGCGGUGAAAUGCGUAGAGAUGUGGAGGAACACCAGUGGCGAAGGCGACUCUCUGGUCUGUAACUGACGCUGAGGAGCGAAAGCGUGGGGAGCGAACAGGAUUAGAUACCCCGGUAGUCCCUGUCUCUUAUAC